rnacentral:rRNA from 1 species
AUUUGGAAUAAAAAGUUUGGUUGUAGCUGAGCCUCUAAUUAACUUGGGGGCAUGUGCACACCUUUCUCUUUCAUCCCAUACACACCUGUGCACCUGUGAGACAGAUGUUUUCUAGGAGGGAAAGAACUUUAUUGGAACCACUCUCCUUGGACUUCUGUCUACUUUAUCUAUAUAAACUCAAUUUAUUUUAAAAUGAAUGGAAUGGAUGUAACACAUUUAAUACUAAAUUUCAACCAAGGAACUCUUGGCUCUCGCAUCCAUUAAAAAAGCAACGAAAUGCCAUAAGUAAUGGGAAUUGGAAAAUUCAGUGAAUCAUCCAAUCUUUGAAAGCACCUUGGGCUCCUUGGUAUUCCUUGGAACAUACCUGUUUGAAUAUCAUGAAAUCUUCAAAAUCAAACCUUUUGGUAAAUCCAUUGGUUUUGCUUUGGUAAUGGAAGGUUAAUGCAACUUCCCACCUGCUCCUCUUUGUGCAUUAACUGGAACUCAAUGGUAAGCUUGGUUCCCAUCCACGGGAUAAAUUAAUUAUCCCUUAAGACACCCUGUUAAAAAAGGGUGGCCCAAGGAAAUGGAAAAUAACUGGUUCUAAAAGUCCAUUGGCCUGGAACAAUAAUAAUUUUAAGAUCCGAACUCCAAUCAAGGAAGAAUA